UACAGAGGGGGCAAGCGUUAUUCGGAAUUAUUGGGCGUAAAGGGCGCGUAGGCGGCGAUUCAAGUGACGGGUGAAAUCCCUCGGCUUAACCGAGGAACUGCCUGUCAGACUGGGUUGCUUGAGACCGGGAGAGGCGAGUGGAAUUCCCAGUGUAGCGGUGAAAUGCGUAGAUAUUGGGAGGAACACCAGUGGCGAAGGCGGCUCGCUGGACCGGAACUGACGCUGAGGCGCGAAAGCUAGGGUAGCAAACGGG
rnacentral:rRNA from 1 species